rnacentral:rRNA from 1 species
GACGAACGCUGGCGGCGUGCUUAACACAUGCAAGUCGAACGAUGAAGCGGGUGCUUGCACUCGUGGAUUAGUGGCGAACGGGCGAGUAACACGUGAGUAACCUGUCCUUUUCUUUGGGAUAACGGCUGGAAACGGCUGCUAAUACUGGAUAUUCAGGCUGCAUCGCAUGGUGUGGUUUGGAAAGGUUUUUUCUGGGAUUGGGUGGGCUCGCGGCCUAUCAGCUUGUUGGUGGGGUGAUGGCUUACCAAGGCUUUGACGGGUAGCCGGCCUGAGAGGGUGGUCGGUCGCACUGGGACUGAGAUACGGCCCAGACUCCUACGGGAGGCAGCAGUGGGGAAUAGUGCACAAUGGACGAAAGUUUGAUGCAGCGACGCCGCGUGGAGGGUGUAGGCCUUCGGGUUGUGAACUCCUUUUUCUCGCGAAAAAGGCACAGUUUUGGCUGUGUUGAUGGUAGUGGGGGAAGAAGCGCCGGCUAACUACGUG